GAGAGCUCGGAGACCGUAAGUCCACUUCAACAGUUGUUUGAGUUAGGCAGCAAAUAGUACAUAAUUAGUCAACAGUUUCAUAACUGGUUGGUUCAUGUAGAUUAACACAAUUAAUUUGAUUCCCCUCAUCUUUUGUUUUUUAUGUUUCUUUGUUGCUGUGGAUUAAUCAACUACUUGGAUCCUGUUUCUGAGGUCUCAUAACCAGAAGAUGACAUCUGCCAAAGAAGAUUCGCAGACUCAACUAGUUGAGACAUUAGUAUCUUCCCUCCAGAAGAUGACAUAUGCCAAAGAAGAAUCACAGAGUCAACUAGUUGAGACAUUAGAAUCUUCCCUCCGUAAAAAAUUUGAAAAAUUGUCCGCAGAUCCUUCAUAUUCCUAUGCAGCAUCUAUCUAUAAAGUUUCUCGGACACUUAGGAAAAAGAAUGAAGGAGCCUAUACCCCUCGAUUAGUGUCAAUUGGUCCAUUACAUCAUGAUCUAUCGCAACUUCAAGACAUGGAGCCUUUUAAAUUGAGAUUCACACAUAAGUUCUUGACUAGAUGUGGAAUUGACCUAAAAACCAUAGCUGAAUUUGCAGCUAAGGAAGAGAGUUUUGUUCGUGGGUGCUAUGAGGGUAGAGUUGAGCUUCCUCGUAACAGACUUGCAGAAGUGAUUGUGUUGGAUGGAAUAUUCAUUGUUGAACUUUUCCUAGAAAACUAUUUCAUUCAACUGAGGGACAAAUAUGAAAGAAUAUUCGAUAUUCGAUCCUGCAUGUACAAUGAUUUGAUUCAUGACAUGUUGUUGGUAGAGAAUCAGCUGCCUAUGAAAAUAAUGGAGAGCCUAUUACAUUUUGUGGAUCUUUCAUUCUUUAAUGAAGGCACCAUGGUCACCAUCUAUGAUCUUGCUCACAAGUUCUUCAAGAACAUUGGUUAUACAAGUGAGGUGCCAUUGACGGCAUUUUGUUGUCAGGCUAGGCAUUUUGUUGAGUUCCUUCUAUUUCUUCAUGCUCCACCAGAGAUACAUGCUUUGCCUUAUGCACCUGCAUCUGAGAAGUUUGAUUACACUUGUAGUGUAGGAGAGCUUGUCAAAGCUGGAGUCAGACUUCAUGCUAGAGAAGGAAAUUGUUUAUUUGAUGUCUCUUUCAAUAAUGGUGUGCUGACUAUCCCCAAAUUGACAGUAAAUGGAUCGACUGAGACGUUCUUCCUCAAUCUUAUAGCCUUUGAGCAGCAGGGCUAUUAUGGCUACUCUUCCAAGAACAUUACGAGUUAUGUGAUGCUCAUGGAUAGGUUCAUAGACACUUCUGGUGAUGUUGAUCUACUUGUUAAGCAUGGCAUCAUCAAGAAUGAAUUAGCUCGGAGUCAACAAGUAGCAGACCUUUUUAAUAAUCUGCACACAGAAGUAAACGAUUUCUAUUUCACUGAGCUCUGUGGAGAGUUAACUACUUACAGCAAGAGUAGGUGGCACCAGUGGAGAGCCAGUUGGUAUAGAUGGAGUGUGACGCCGAUGCAAGAGUUCGGAGGCAGAUGGGACAAAUGGAAACAGAUUUUGGGAAGCGAAUAUUUCGGCAACCCUUGGUCUGUCUUAUCUGUUAUCGGUGUGAUUUUGAUACUCGUUCUUACAAUAACACAAACAGUCUUUACAAUCCUCCAGGUAACGUCAGCUGAUUGACAAAGCUUUGCUGGUUAAUCCAAAUAAAUGAUCUUGCUCAAAUUCUCCUUAAUCAUGUUCUGAUGUAGGAGUAUGACUUAAUAUUGACAACUUCUUUAAUGUAUGACUUCUACAACUACGAAGCUGGAAAGCCAGAGUUUAUCAGAGUCUUAUGUGAGUUCCUUCAGGUACGAAAACAAGUCUCAACACCGUUAUUUCCUGUGGUUGCAUGUGCUCCAAUAAACACUCCAUAAUUUGAGGCCCUACUAGUUGGCCAUUUACAUUCUUCAACAGAUUUGAGAGAGGUGCUGCUUCCACUCCUCCGGACUCCCGUUCUGUUUCAUCUUUAUUACUCAGUGUGUCAGGGAUAUGGCCAGUAGUGAGAUGCCUAAAUUACACUAUAGAGUGUUUCUCUGCUCUUUUUGGUGAUUCAAUUCUUAGAAAACGUGUACCAUAGGGACCUCCAGCAAUUUCAUACAAGCUUCCGAGGCUCACGCAGCUACCUGUUUCAAAGAUGACUGAAAUCUUUGGUACAAAAACAGUGGCUAGAAUCCGUGACUUCUACUGUGGAACAAGAGAAAUUAUCUGUCAGGUUGGUGUUUCCAGCGGGCUUGGAUCCCCUGUGGAGGAAUCACAGCAGGGGAUGUUGUUCCUCACAUCCCAAUUUUUAAAAUUUUUUGUUUUUUUUAAGUGUUAUAUUUUAAGUUUAAAAAGUUGGGAUGUGAGGAACAACAUCCUCUGCUUGAUUCCUCCACAGCAGUGGAUCCACGCCCGUUUCCAGCCUCCUGAAAUAUCAGAGAACUUUUGGUUGGUGAUGCCUCAAGUACGAUUACGAAGAUCUCUACUUCUCUUAUAAUGCUUAAUUUUAGUCUUCUAACUUGAGGUCAAGCAACAAGAUAUUGAACCGAGCCAUACACUUGAAUACAUUUACUCCCUUCUAAUGUUAUCUUACGAUAUUUUCCCAGAUAUAAAAUUUUGUAUAGGUGAGUG